GUGCGUUUGGGUAGCUCAGUGAAUUGAGCAUCUAAUUCUUGAUUUUGGCUCAGGUCAUGAUUUCGGGGUUUUGAGAUCAAGCUCUGCAUUGAGCUCCCCACUUAGUGGGGAGUCUGCUUCUCCUUCUCUCCCUCCCCUCUCACUCCACCCCUCCCCCUGCUUGGGCUGUUUUUCUCUCAAAUAAAUAAACAAAACAAAACAAAAACAACAAAGAAAUGAAUAUUAAGGAAUCUAUAAAUGGGAGCCUAGAUAAAAGCCAUAUAUUAGAGUUUCUUAGGGGGACUGAUAAAUAGCAUCCUCUGUCUAGUUUUUGAAAACAUUGAGAGACCCAGAGUAUCAGAUGGAGCCACAAUAUUUCUUUAUUACUGUUAAAGGCUAAGCAGAAGCCACAGCUCAUUGUGAGAACCCAAUGGGCCGGGAAAGUAAUUCCAAAAUUUAAUAGACUUACCCCAUAUUCGUGUGGGCAUGGGCCAGGUGAGAGUUGGAGGAACAGAAGAGUCCUGGUGCCAGCAGGUAGUUUGCUCCCAAGAGACAAAGAAGGGCUAGUGCUGAACCAAGAAUGUCCAGCCUAGUCUUCUCAGAAGUCUUUCCAUCUUUUGGAGGGUGGAGGGGGGCCAGAGGUUUCAGUAAUAGGGGCCCUUUCAUGUGGAAGGAAGCACAAGAAGUCCCUCUAAUGUUUUUGUGAACAGACUUUAAUGGUGCAUCCUGCAACUUUUCAGCCACCCCAUGUCCAGCUCGAAUUGAUAAUACUUGUCCACCCCAUCCUGGUGGUAGUGGUCAGGACAUGCUAGUGGAAGAGACAGGUCUUAAACUGGGAUUUCGAAGAUGGGAGGAUUUUAAAUUUGUAGAGCAAGAAUGUCAGUCCAGGGAGGAAGUGAUCUGAACCAAGAACUAUUCGUUUCAUAUUUAUUUAUUUAUUUAUUUAUUUAUUUAUUUAUUUAUUUAUUUAUUUUUUUAAUUUUUUAUUUAUUUGUGAUAGUCACAGAGAGAGAGAGAGAAUGAGGCAGAGACACAGGCAGAGGGAGAAGCAGGCUCCAUGCACCGGGACCCCGACGUGGGAUUCGAUCCCGGGUCUCCAGGAUCACGCCCUGGGCCAAAGGCAGGCACCAAACCGCUGCGCCACCCAGGGAUCCCCUCGUUUCAUAUUUAGGGGACAAACAUGGGAGUUGACAUGUUUGAAGAGGUUUGGGAAAGCUACUUUCCUGACUAAAAAAUAUGGAAUGUUCCAGAAUGCUCCAUAUCUUUAGAAGAUCCUUACUUUCCCUGCAAAAGAAAGUCAUAUGUUUGGGAUAACAACAUGAAAUAAUGUGAGUGGUGGAGAUUUAAGAACUUACUCUUUAAAAGAAAAAAAAAAAUCUGUAGACAUGUGUUCGAAGGCCAAAUGCUUUGUAUCAGUAUGAAGAAGUUCCAGGAGAGGUGUCAGUGUUUUGUAUAUUAACUUAUUAAGCUGUUAUUUUUAAAAUGUAUGAUGUUUAUGCAUAUGAAAACUUUUUCAGAGCUGUGGAAUCUUUUUUCUUUUUAAAGAUUUUAUUUAUUUAUUCAUGAGACACACACACACACACACACACACACACACACACACAACACAACACAGAGGCAGAGACAUAGGCAGAGAGAGAAGCAGACUCCGUGCAGGAAGCCCAAUGUGGGGCUCAAUCCCAGAACUGCAGGAUCAUGCCCUGAGCCAAAGGCAGAUGCCCAACCACUGAGAAUCUAAUAGAAAAUGUAUAGCAGUGAAGGGAAUGUUUAAUGAAGAGAA
rnacentral:lncRNA from 12 species